AACUUAUUCAAUCACUAAGUUUACCUACAAAAGUGACCCACUUUUACGAUUCAUUAGAAUCUUAUUAAUGUUUUCUCUUCAUUGAUUCUAGGUGCUAGGAGUUAUGAUCCAUCACAAAGCCCAACUAUGUGUCACAUUUCAACCUAGAUCAUAUCGUCCUUAGAACUCUUUAAAACAUCGAAUUCUUUAUCCAAAAAUUUUCCAUUUAUAGAUAUUCCCUUGGUCAAAGCUAUGGAGUGGUAUUUUAGAAACCUUCGAAAAAACUCUUGCACUUAGAAUUUUGAAAAUUUCUUGAAGAUAGGAGAGCUCCCAUUUACGAAGAAUUUACCCUCUUGAUCUCCUCUUAACUAGAUCUAUCUCCGCCACAAACAAGCUUAGACUUCAAGAUCCAUUCAUCCCAGAAGCAAGACCCCCCCUCCCCC
rnacentral:lncRNA from 1 species